rfam:Daucus carota subsp. sativus cultivar DH1 chromosome 2, whole genome shotgun sequence.
AUACCUUUCUCGGCCUUUUGGCUAAGAUCAAGUGUAGUAUCUGUUCUUAUCAGUUUAAUAUCUGAUAUGUGGGCUAUUGGUUCACACGAUAUUAAAUUUAUUUUUUAAGGGGGAAGGCCCACCAAAAUAGCUUGCUAUAGGGCUCUUCACGUGUCGCUUGAGUGUUGCACUACUACUCGGGCCUGGCACACCCCCA